UCGUAGAGCUUACGGUGCCUACUUCCGAGGCUCCGCCAGUCCCCUCUAGCCUUUCCGACUGCACCUGUUUGUUUCCUCGGCAGGCGUCCCGCCUGCCAAUGGGACCUUUUUAAAGCCAUUGCGAUAACAUUGAACAAAAUCGUCUGACAUACAACUAAAUCGUAGAUC
rnacentral:misc_RNA from 1 species